rnacentral:rRNA from 1 species
UUAACACAUGCAAGUCGAGGGGUAACAGGGAUUGCUUGCAAUCCGCUGACGACCGGCGCACGGGUGCGUAACGCGUAUGCAACCUACCUUUUUCAGGGGGAUAGUCAAUAGAAAUGUUGAAUAAUACCCCAUAAUAUUAUUAAUCCGCAUGGAUUGAUAAAGAAAGCUCCGGCGGAAAAAGAUGGGCAUGCGUCCUAUUAGUUAGUUGGUAAGGUAACGGCUUACCAAGACAUCGAUAGGUAGGGGUCCUGAGAGGGAGAUCCCCCACACUGGUACUGAGACACGGACCAGACUCCUACGGGAGGCAGCAGUGAGGAAUAUUGGACAAUGGAGGCAACUCUGAUCCAGCCAUGCCGCGUGCAGGAAGACGGCCCUAUGGGUUGUAAACUGCUUUUAUACAGGAAGAACUGUAUCUACGUGUAGAUACUUGACGGUACUGUACGAAUAAGGAUCGG